rnacentral:rRNA from 1 species
UACGUAGGGGGCAAGCGUUGUCCGGAAUCAUUGGGCGUAAAGCGCGCGUAGGCGGCCCGGUAAGUCCGCUGUAAAAGUCCAGGGCUCAACCCUGGAAAGCCGGUGGAUACUGUCGGGCUAGAGUCCGGAAGAGGCGAGUGGAAUUCCCGGUGGAGAGGUGAAAUUCGUAGAUAUCGGGAGGAAUACCAGUGGCGAAGGCGCCGACCUGGCCGGACACUGACGCUGAGGUGCGAAAGCGUGGGGAGCAAACAGG